rfam:Oryza glumipatula chromosome 3, whole genome shotgun sequence.
UUUAAGUGCAACUAUGAAUUAUGAAUUUUAGUGCUCAACUUUAGUCGCUUAUCUUAUUUAAUUUUUUUUAAUUAGUACUACCUUUUGUUGUUAUGAGAUGAUAAAACAUAAAUAAUACUUUAUACGUGACUUAUAUUUUUAUUUUUUUAAAAAAAAAUUAAAUAAGAUGGACGAUCAAAGUUGGGCACGGAAACCCAUGGCUGCACUUCAU